GAAGGACGAAGACAAUCCGGGCAUUGGCGUUCCGUGUGUUAAAGGGUGUGCGUGUGCAGUCACUGAAGUACGGAGGCAUUUUGUUGGGUUUAACGAGGAUCGUGUUGGUGUUAAGAGUGUUUGCCUAAUUGCUGCUGCCUGCGGGGGGGCGGAUGGCCUGGGAGCCGGCUUGUGAAUGAACCCUGCCACUCGUAGUUUUUGCCAUUUUGUUUGGACAGCUAGUCACUGUUUUCCCACAUAUGAAUCUCCGUAUCAAACGUUGGUGAUGUGAUACCAAUCAAAUCAGUUUCUACGUGGCAACAGGUAAAGAUUAUUUUCAGUGAUUGACUAUUAAAUCUUACAGCGCUAAAGCGCCCCAACCUUAUCUGGCCCAUUUUAACUGGUGGCUCAAUUCACCUGACUUCACCUUUUUCACUUAGCUUCACUGAAACUAAAGUGGACCCGCAUUUCAAUCUGAGUUCCAAUGUCUCUUUUUCAUUUCCCAGAACACAAAACCUGACGCACUUUAUGUACACCUUUAAGUCCCCUUUAAUGUAGCCUAAUUCGUAAAAUCCAAGAGUUGCAUCUACUCCAAACAAGAGGCUUUCCAUUAAUGAGCCGUGCAUACGGACAUAAUACGCAUUCAAGAUCACUCAGACACAGAUCUGAAGCUGAACUAGACGUACUACUGACUUUAAGACCUCGCGGUGAAUCAGACGUCGCUGACUGGCAACAGCCUUGGCUUUUCAUCAAGUGGUGGAAUGGGACGGUGUAGGGUGCAACUAUGAUAACAGCGAUACACUGUAGGCUAAUAUUGUGCAGUUAGGUUUACUACGCUCAGUUGUGUCAU